rnacentral:lncRNA from 1 species
AGUAUUACAAUUAAUUUAAAAUAAAACUAAUAAGAAAAUUAAAUAUAUGUUCGAUUUUAUUGAGUAGCCAUAAUUAUAACAAAAGGAUAUAAAUUAUUAAAGGGUCAUUCUAUGAUGCCAUAAUUAAAAUCACGACAUUAAUACCAUAAUUAAACAUGAAUUAUAUAAAUGAAAGAAUGGAAAUGUCAUUUGAAACCCCUCCAGUAGAGGAUGCCCCAAAAAUACCACAUGAACUUGGAACAUUUUGCUAUCACUCACAACCUAACAAAGAGAAUAUAAAUUACGAAAAAGCUUUCAAAGCAAGAAGAAUAGCUCCAACGACAUUAGAAAUGCACCAGAAGCUUUCAAAGCAAAAAUUCUCCCAGAAAAACUAAGGUCCUUAGUAGAGUAGUUACUAAAAGUGACACAUAACAGCACAAAUCCAAACCAUAAAUCUCAAACACUCGCCAAAAUUAAGAUAAAAAAAUAAGAAUUAAAGAACAAAUAUUUAAAAUUGGCCAUGGAAGCUCGUGCCUCUAGUCCGUGGCAACUGCAAUCAGCAUGAAACACGCUUUGUUGCCACUGUACUACUUCUUUUUGUGGUCAUCACAUGCCGUCAGCCCACGCUGGAACCUCGUGUGCAACUAGUAGAGCCAUGAGCACCGCCACGCUUCUGCUGCAUCAAGAAAUGCAGCCCAAUUCGAACGCUUCCGCCAUGGUGGCUAUGGAUGUGAGUAUCUACCUAGGUCGAUUGAGAGUGGCUGUAAGGAGGCUAGGGUUUCAGGUGGUUUUAUGAGAGAAGAGUUUGGUGUGAGAAUGGGUAGGAAUCUCAACACUUUGAAAAAAAAAAAUCGAGGGUUUCUUUUUAAUUUUAACUUUUUAUUUUUAUUUUAAUAGCUUGUUUUUUAUUUUAUAAUAAAAAAAUUUAAAUAUGUAAUAUUUUAUAAGCAAAACAUCAUCGUUCCAACUUAAGUGAAACGACAGUGUUUCUUGAUUCAUAUAAAUAUUUUAUUUCAAAUAAUGCCAAAAAUUUCAGUCAAAUAAGCGCCAAAAUGAAGUCAACAUUAAAAUUCUAUCAUGAAUACUUGAUGUAAUAUAUUCUAUCACAAAGUCGUCAUAUAUUAUUGACAUAAUUGAUUUCUAUCAUGAGUAUCAUGAAUACUUGAUAGACACAAAAUCUGUCACGACUUUAUCAUAUUUUUAUGAUGUACGUCAUUUCCGUCACAAAAUGUCUGUUAUCUAUUGUCAAUUUUCUUGUAGUGUUUGAAGUAUCCUCUUUGGGCAGCAUCUACAUUAACUCUGAAUUGGUGGCUCAUGCAAAG